UGAUAUCCAUCUGGAUUAAUUAGUGCACUGGAUCCCAUUAGAACUCCACAGUUAAAAAUGCUCAGGCUAGAGUAGUACUGGGAUGGGUGACCGGCCGAGAAGUCCUAGUAUUUUAC
rnacentral:rRNA from 1 species